rnacentral:rRNA from 1 species
GCAAGUCGAGCGCACCUUCGGGUGAGCGGCGGACGGGUUAGUAACGCGUGGGAAUAUGCCCUUCUCUACGGAAUAGCCACUGGAAACGGUGAGUAAUACCUUAUACGCCCUUCGGGGGAAAGAUUUAUCGGAUUUGGAUCAGCCCGCGUUAGAUUAGAUAGUUGGUGGGGUAAUGGCCUACCAAGUCUACGAUCUAUAGCUGGUUUUAGAGGAUGAUC